GACCGCGUAGCUCAGUUGGCAGAGCGUUGGGCUAGUAUUCCAAAGGUCGUAGGUUCGAUUCCCACUGUGGCCG
rnacentral:tRNA from 1 species